AACGAACGCUGGCGGCAGGCUUAACACAUGCAGGUCGAGCGCCCCGCAAGGGGAGCGGCAGACGGGUGAGUAACGCGUGGGAAUCUACCCAUCUCUACGGAAUAACGCAUGGAAACGUGUGCUAAUACCGUAUACGUCCUUCGGGAGAAAGAUUUAUCGGGGAUGGAUGAGCCCGCGUUGGAUUAGCUAGUUGGUGGGGUAAAGGCCUACCAAGGCGACGAUCCAUAGCUGGUCUGAGAGGAUGAUCAGCCACACUGGGACUGAGACACGGCCCAGACUCCUAUGGGAGGCAGCAGUGGGGAAUAUUGGACAAUGGGCGCAAGCCUGAUCCAGCCAUGCCGCGUGAGUGAUGAAGGCCCUAGGGUUGUAAAGCUCUUUCACCGGUGAAGAUAAUGACGGUAACCGGAGAAGAAGCCCCGGCUAACUUCGUGCCAGCCGCCGCCGUAACAC
rnacentral:rRNA from 1 species